AAUCCCCUGCGGUGUUCGAGACGGCCCAUAAUUCCUUUGUACCAAUGCGUUCGCUUUUGGUUGUCAGCAUGAGUAGCAGGUGUGUCGCGUCCCUUUGCGGAUGUGCCCGAAGCUACUGGCCGGCGACCCCCCCUGGAAACAGGGUACAAGCGAAUUCGGCCCGAUCGACUCUCGCGGGGGACUC
rfam:Vogesella sp. EB contig00029, whole genome shotgun sequence.